AUUGAACGCUGGCGGCAGGCCUAACACAUGCAAGUCGAGCGAGCGGCGGACGGGUGAGUAAUGUAUGGGGCUCUGCCCGAUAGAGGGGGAUAACUAAUGGAAACGGUGGCUACUAACGCAUACUAUCGGAUGAACCCAGAUGGGAUUAGCUAGUAGGUGGGGUAAAGGCUCACCUAGGCGACGAUCUCUAGCUGGUCUGAGAGGAUGAUCAGCCACACUGGGACUGAGACACGGUCCAGACUCCUACGGGAGGCAGCAGUGGGGAAUAUUGCACAAUGGGCGAAAGCCUGAUCCAGCCAUGCCGCGUGUAUGAAGAAGGCCUUCGGGUUGUAAAGUACUUUCAGUGGGGAGGCGUUACCCGCAGAAGAAGCACCGGCUAACUCCGUGCCAGCCGCCGCGGUAAUUC
rnacentral:rRNA from 1 species